rnacentral:lncRNA from 1 species
AAAAAACUGAACAAUCGGGCCUUCAUUAAGAAAGAAGAACCACGCUAAGGUAAAAAGAGAGGAGAGAGGGAGAGAGGGGAGAGAGAGAGAGAGAGAGAGAGAGAGAGAGAGAGAGAGAGAGAGAGGGAGAGGGAGAGGGAGAGGGAGAGGGAGAGGGAGAGGGAGAGGGGAGAGGGGAGAGGGAGACAGAGAGGGAGGGAGACAGAGAGACAGAGAGACAGAGAGAUAGAGAGACAGAGAGACAGAGAGAGAGAAGCAAGGGGAUGCUCUGUCUAAACCUCACUAGAGAUUAUUCGGGAUUUGAUUUUAGGUGACUGGCUCGUGUUAAAGGACCUUCCUGUCAGAAGAAAUUGAAAAUUGUUGCUCAUGGAUUUCUGUGGGAUAUAUGUUCUCAAUUCAUUAUAAGUAACUACCAAAUGGGACAAUUUUUUUUUGCUCAAUACUAUAAGAGAGGUCAAAAGGGGGAACAGAAAAGUGGUGAAGAUAUGAGAUGAGACAUUGCUGAGAUAAGGGGGUAUGAAUAUCUAGUCUUCUGAAUACACAAAUAGCCUUGACAAAUAAGUAAAUGCAGAUAAGCCACUGAAAGAUAUAUGAAAAAAACUUUUAAGUAUUUUGGAAAGAACAUUAAACUCUCAUAUAAGUAGAUUUGUUUAAAGUUGGUUAAGGGGACUGGACAAAUGGCUUAGUAGUAAACGAGUAAUAAAACUUUCUACUUUAGCAGUAGAGUUGAGUUCAGUUUCCAGGAUUCUUGGCAGCUUACACUUUCCUGUAAGUCCAUUUAUAAGGUAUCCUAAGACCUGCCUUCCAGAUUACAUAGGCACUACACACAUGUAGUACAGAGACAGACAAAGAGGCACAUGGACACACACACAUAGAGAAAUUAAUGAAAAGAAAAGAUUGCUCAAAUUCAUUACUGAGGGAAAUAUGAAAUGCAAAUUAUGGUAUGUUUACAGAUGUUUCUAGUUUUGUUUCUUUAAUUCAUAUAAAUUAGUCUAACUGGGACUUCCUAACACUUUUUAACUUUCUUUGCAAACAUGAUUUUAAUAGCAUAAAAUAUUAGGUUCCAUUAUGGAAGCUUUCCCUCC